UACAGAGGGUGCGAGCGUUUAAUCGGAAUUACUGGGCGUAAAGCGUGCGUAGACGGUUAUUUAAGUCGGGUGUGAAAUCCCCGGGCUCAACCCGGGAACUGCGUCCGAUACUGGCAGGCUUGAAUCCGGGAGAGGGAUGCGGAAUUCCAGGUGUAGCGGUGAAAUGCGUAGAUAUCUGGAGGAACACCGGUGGCGAAGGCGGCAUCCUGGACCGGCAUUGACGCUGAGGCGCGAAAGCCAGGGGAGCAAAGC
rnacentral:rRNA from 1 species